rnacentral:lncRNA from 1 species
CCCGCUAGGCCGGUGCCGCCUCUCGGCCCCGCAGGCCCGGUCAGCGGCAUGGAGCGGCCGCCGCUGCUGCUGCCGCUGGCGCUGCUCGCCCUGUUGUGGGGAGGAGAGCGCGGGGCCGUAGCGCUGCCCGCGGGCUGCAAGCACGACGGUCGGGCCCGGGGUACCGGCAGGGCGGCCGGAGCCGAGGGGAAGGUGGUGUGCAGCAGCCUGGAGCUCGCGCAGGUUCUGCCCCGGACACGCUGCCCAACCGCACGGUCACCCUCCUCUGCAGCUCCAAGUGUUUCCGACCGGCAGCACACAGUCGCAUUGUUGUUCAUGGGAGUUUCUCCAAGAUUUCCACACCAGGACAUGGCACGCGCAGAUAGUGGUGAAGUGAAGUGGUGAAUGAUGCUGCAGGCUGUGUCCAGAAGUCGGGUGAUGAGGGACGCUCCCGGCCUUUAUCUGUCCCAUCCCUGGGGAAGAAGGGACUGGUCAUCUUCUUUCCUGAAGCCUGAUUGAGAGUGUGCUGUUGGUAGUUUCAUUCGCACCACCCAGGAGAGUUAAAUAUUCCCAUAUCUGGAGCACAGACCUCUGUUCCCAUGCAAUUGUUCAGGGAUGGGUCCCAGACAUUAGUGAUUUUCAUUGAUUCCAAUGUCAACUGGGAUU